GCCUGGCUGGCUUAAUCAGUAGAGCAUGAGACUCUUGAUCUCAGGGGUGUGAGUUCAAGCCCUGUGUUGGGCA
rnacentral:tRNA from 1 species